rnacentral:rRNA from 1 species
AGAGUUUGAUCCUGGCUCAGGAUGAACGCUGGCGGCGUGCUUAACACAUGCAAGUCGAACGUGAGGGGGUAGAAAUAUCCCUGAAAGUGGCGGACGGGUGCGUAACACGUAGGAACCUGCCCUGGAGCGGGGGAUAACCACGGGAAACUGUGGCUAAUACCGCAUGGGUUUGGAGUGACGGGAGUGCUUCAAACAAAAUUCAGGUGCUCUGGGAGGGGCCUGCGGCCGAUUAGUUAGUUGGUGGGGUAAAGGCCUACCAAGACGAUGAUCGGUAGCUGUUCUGAGAGGAAGACCAGCCACACGGGAACUGAGAAACGGUCCCGACUCCUACGGGGGGCAGCAGUGAGGAAUAUUGCACAAUGGGGGAAACCCUGAUGCAGCAACGCCGCGUGAAGGAUGAAGGCUUUCGAGUUGUAAACUUCUUUUCUGGGGGAAGAGGAAGGACGGUACUCCAGGAAUAAGACACGGCUAACUACGUGCCAGCAGCCGCGGUAAUACGUAGGUGUCGAGCGUUAUCCGGAAUUACUGGGCGUAAAGGGCACGCAGGCGGCUGUUCAAGUCCGGCGUGAAAACUCCCGGCUUAACUGGGAGAGGCCGUUGGAAACUGAGCAGCUUGAGGCAAUGAGAGGGAUGCGGAAUUCCCGGUGUAGUGGUGGAAUGCGUAGAUAUCGGGAAGAACACCAGUGGCGAAAGCGGCAUCCUGGCAUUGAACUGACGCUCAUGUGCGAAAGCGUGGGUAGCGAACGGGAUUAGAUACCCCGGUAGUCCACGCUGUAAACGAUGUGAACUAGGUGUAGGUGGUAUUGACCCCAUCUGUGCCGAAGCCAACGCGAUAAGUUCACCGCCUGGGGAGUACGGCCGCAAGGCUAAAACUCAAAGGAAUAGACGGGGGCUUGCACAAGCGGUGGAGCGUGUGGCUCAAUUCGUC